UUAGAACGAACGCUGGCGGCAGGUCUUAGGCAUGCAAGUCGAACGGAUGACAAGGGAGCUUGCUCCUGAAGUCAGUGGCGCACGAGUGAGUAACGCGUGGGAAACUGCCCUUCACUGGGGAAUAACGUUUGGAAACGAACGCUAAUACCGCAUACGCCCGCAAGGGGAAAGAUUUAUCGGUGAUGGAUGUGCCCGCGUUGGAUUAGCUAGUUGGUGGGGUAAUGGCCUACCAAGGCGAUGAUCCAUAGCUGGUCUGAGAGGACCGAUCAGCCACGCUGGAACUGAGACACGGUCCAGACUCCUACGGGAGGCAGCAGCUAAGAAUAUUGGGCAAUGGAGGAAACUCUGACCCAAGCCAUGCCGCGUGAAUGAAGAAGGCCUUCGGGUUGUAAAGUUCUUUUAGUCAUGAAGAUGAUGACAGUAGUGACAGAAAAAGCACCGGCUAACUUCGUGCCAGCCGCGGC
rnacentral:rRNA from 1 species